rnacentral:rRNA from 1 species
ACUCCUACGGGUGGCUGCAGUGGGGAAUAUUGGACAAUGGGCGAAAGCCUGAUCCAGCCAUGCCGCGUGUGUGAAGAAGGCCUUUUGGUUGUAAAGCACUUUAAGUGGGGAGGAAAAGCUUGUGGUUAAUACCCAUAAGCCCUGACGUUACCCACAGAAUAAGCACCGGCUAACUCUGUGCCAGCAGCCGCGGUAAUACAGAGGGUGCAAGCGUUAAUCGGAAUUACUGGGCGUAAAGCGAGCGUAGGUGGUCAUUUAAGUCAGAUGUGAAAGCCCCGGGCUUAACCUGGGGAACUGCAUCUGAUACUGGGUGACUAGAGUAGGUGAGAGGGAAGUAGAAUUCCAGGUGUAGCGGUGAAAUGCGUAGAGAUCUGGAGGAAUACCGAUGGCGAAGGCAGCUUCCUGGCAUCAUACUGACACUGAGGUUCGAAAGCGUGGGUAGCAAACAGGAUUAGAUACCCUGGUAGUCCACGCCGUAAACGAUGUCUACCAGUCGUUGGGUCUCUUGAAGACUUAGUGACGCAGUUAACGCAAUAAGUAGACCGCCUGGGGAGUACGGCCGCAAGGUUAAAACUCAAAUGAAUUGACGGGGGCCCGCACAAGCGGUGGAGCAUGUGGUUUAAUUCGAUGCAACGCGAAGAACCUUACCUGGUCUUGACAUAGUGAGAAUCCUGCAGAGAUGCGGGAGUGCCUUCGGGAAUUCACAUACAGGUGAUGCAUGGAUGUCGUCAGCUC